AACAUGUCUUCUUGUAUUGUAUAGGAAGUCUGGCCUGCCCGGUGAUAAUAGUUUAACGGCCGCGGUAUAUUGACCGUGCAAAGGUAGCAUAAUCAUUAGUCUUUUAAUAGGGGACUGGAAUGAAGGGUUCCACGAAAUACUAACUGUCUCAACUUAAUAUAGUAUAAUUUGAUUUUUGAGUCAAAAAGCUUAAAUUUUAUUGAAGGACGAGAAGACCCUAUAGAGCUUUAUAAUUAAUAAUAACAGUUAUUUUUAUUAUAUUUUUGUUCUGCUAUUAUAAAUUUUUUUGUUGGGGUGACAACAGAUAUAUAAAUAACUUUUUUAUUUAUAAAACAUUGAUUUAUGAUUAAUAGAUCCAUUAAUAUUGACUAUUAGAAUUAGUUACCUUAGGGAUAACAGCGUAAUCUUCCUCCAGAGUUCAUAUUUACAGGGAGGGUUGCGACCUCGAUGUUGGAUUAAGAUUAUAAUUAGGUGUAGCAGCUUAAUUUAUAGGUCUGUUCGACCUUUAAAUUCUUACAUG
rnacentral:rRNA from 1 species